GCAGCGCCGUCUGAAUUGUGUCAGCAGUACGAGAAAGCUUUGUUAAACGUUAACAGCACUAACUGUGGCAUAAUCAUUUGCAUACAGAAGUCGUGAUGCUCUUCUCUCUUUGCUCUGUCCGUUCAUUCAUGUGAUUUAACAGCGACAAUUACAUCAAAAUAGAUUUACAAACCAGCAUUUGUAGACUAAAGUGACCACUAAAGGGCAAAGUAGCACAACAAAUCCACACACAUUACAGGAACUCGAGGACAAUAUCCAUGGGUCAGUUCAUUCACUUUCUCAAAGAGGAGAACAUUGUGUGACAAAUAAUUUCUUCAGUAGAUGUGAGGAAUGUGUGGAAAAAAUUGGCAGGUAGUUCCAGCACCUCAAUGCAUGACAUAGAUUAUAAUGGCCUUCAGAUGAGAUAGAUACCUCACUAACCAAGAAAUAGAAGAAAUAAUAAACAGUGACGCAUUCUAUAAAGUGGUGUCAGAUGAUCAGGACCAUACUGAUAUCACCAUAAGUCCUCCUGAAGUAGACUAUAUGACCAGCAAAGAAGAAGGUCCAGACGAUGUUACUGGAACUGGGAAGUCUCAGAUGUGCCAGGGGCUAUUGAAUAAUAUUAUGUUGCCUCAGAGAAUAACGAAGAAACUGUAUGUAAAACUUCACUGCCAAGUACAUCCCAAGUUUCCAGAAGUAAAUCGAAGAAUGGCCCUCGUAAAUGUCUGGCUCUUCUACGUGGGAAAAAUGCACUGGAUUUACUGGAUUUAAGACGUGCUGUUACAGUUACAUACCUGAAAUUGGACACUGGAAGACCAAAUGUUGGAUGUCCAAUGGAAUACCCACCAAGUCAGUUGAGAGUGAUACCAGUCAUCAGGUUUGAUGGAAUUAGUCAUUUGAUUGACAUAAGAAACAUGCAAAGAAGAUGUGUAAGAGCUAAGUGGAAUGGGAAACCAAAAACAUAUUGUAUAAUAAUGUACACUAUGUACAUUA